rnacentral:rRNA from 1 species
ACGGAACGAAAAAGCUCUCUCUAAUACAGGGGGUGAAUGACGGUACCGUAAGAAUAAGCACCGGCUAACUACGUGCCAGCAGCCGCGGUAAUACGUAGGGUGCAAGCGUUAAUCGGAAUUACUGGGCGUAAAGCGUGCGCAGGCGGUUAUGUAAGACAGAGGUGAAAUCCCCGGGCUCAACCUGGGAACUGCCUUUGUGACUGCAUAGCUGGAGUGCGGCAGAGUGGGAUGGAAUUCCGCGUGUAGCAGUGAAAUGCGUAGAUAUGCGGAGGAACACCGAUGGCGAAGGCAAUCCCCUGGGCCUGCACUGACGCUCAUGCACGAAAGCGUGGGGAGCAAACAGGAUUAGAUACCCUGGUAGUCCACGCCCUAAACGAUGUCAACUGGUUGUUGGGUCUUCACUGACUCAGUAACGAAGCUAACGCGUGAAGUUGACCGCCUGGGGAGUACGGCCGCAAGGUUAAAACUCAAAGGAAUUGACGGGG